UUAAAUUAAGGUCCUCUUUUUUUUAACUUCUAAAUUUAACUAUUAAAAAAAGUUGUCAAUUUAAAAAUAGAUGGAUGGGUUGUUUUGCUUUUGCACUAUGUAUAAAUAACUGAGUACGCGGAAGGGUAAGGUCGUAUCGUGUUUCUUUCAUCGUCGUUUCGUUAUUCCGACGAAACCCUAACGCGACCAUGUCGACCAAGCAAGGUGGAAAAGCUAAGCCUUUGAAGAAACCCAAGUCUGAUAAGAAAGAUUACGACGAGUGAUAGAGCAUAAUAUUCAAGGUUGAAAUUGCUUUGGGAAUUAAUGAUAAACUUUGAUGAAGAGAGAGUAAAAAGGUGUGAGGUUGGGCUUGGUUUAAUUAUUUGGUGUUCUUUUGUUGUAAAGUUUUCUGGUAGAGUUUAGCUGGCUAAUGUUGCAUUAAAUUGAAAUCCUUGAAUUGGGGUUUUUUGAGUUUUCAUUUUUUAUUGUUAAAUUGCUGUGGUAAAAGAACAGAAUUUUCAAAAUUGAUUUGAUUUCAAAAUGAGGUUGGGCUUAGUUUGAUUAUUGUAUGUUUUCAAUCUACAAGUUUCUGAAGAUUUGAUCUUAUAGCCUGACAUCUUGAUAUUUGAGUGGGAUUCAUCUUGAUAUUCAGAGGGGAACUUGACAUCAUGUGUUGGUAGGGAUACAUGAUUC